rnacentral:rRNA from 1 species
UACGAAGGUCCCAAGCGUUGUUCGGAAUCACUGGGCGUAAAGGGAGCGUAGGCGGCGUGGUAAGUCAGAUGUGAAAUCCCGGGGCUCAACCCCGGAACUGCAUCCGAUACUGCCAUGCUAGAGGAUUGGAGAGGUAGCUGGAAUUCUUGGUGUAGCAGUGAAAUGCGUAGAGAUCAAGAGGAACACGCGUGGCGAAAGCGAGCUACUGGACAAUUCCUGACGCUGAGGCUCGAAGGCCAGGGUAGCGAAAGGG